rnacentral:rRNA from 1 species
AGGCAGCAUGGGGGAUAUUGCACAAUGGGGGGAACCCUGAUGCAGCGACGCCGCGUGGGUGAAGAAGCGCCUCGGCGCGUAAAGCCCUGUCAGCAGGGAAGAAAAUGACGGUACCUGAAGAAGAAGCCCCGGCUAACUACGUGCC